UCGAGAAUCUUCGGCAAUGGGCGCAAGCCUGACCGAGCGACGCCGCGUGGAGGACGAAGGCCUUCGGGUUGUAAACUCCUGUCGAGGGGGAGGAAGGUCGGGCAACCGGCUUGACCGAUCCCUGGAGGAAGCACGGGCUAAGUUCGUGCCAGCAGCCGCGGUAAGACGAACCGUGCGAACGUUAUUCGGAAUCACUGGGCUUAAAGCGCGUGUAGGCGGACGGGAACGUCGGUCGUUGAAAGCCCCCGGCUCAACCGGGGAAGUGGCGCCGAAACGACCCGUCUGGAGGGACGUAGGGGGACCUGGAACUUCCGGUGGAGCGGUGAAAUGCGUUGAGAUCGGAAGGAACGCCCGUGGCGAAAGCGAGGUCCUGGACGUCUACUGACGCUGAGACGCGAAAGCUAGGGUAGCGAACG
rnacentral:rRNA from 1 species